AAUAUCCUACGGGACGCAGCAGUGAGGAAUAUUGGUCAAUGGGCUUACGCCUGAACCAGCCAAGUCGCGUGAGGGAAGACUGCCCUAUGGGUUGUAAACCUCUUUUGUCAGGGAGCAAUUGGCGCUACGUGUAGCGUUAUCGAGAGUACCUGAAGAAAAAGCAUCGGCUAACUCCGUGCCAGCAGCCGCGGUAAUACGGAGGAUGCGAGCGUUAUCCGGAUUUAUUGGGUUUA
rnacentral:rRNA from 1 species